rnacentral:rRNA from 1 species
AAGGCGUAGUCGAUGGGAAACAGGUUAAUAUUCCUGUACUUGGUGUUACUGCGAAGGGGGGACGGAGAAGGCUAUGUUGGCCGGGCGACGGUUGUCCCGGUUUAAGCGUGUAGGCUGGUUUUCCAGGCAAAUCCGGAAAAUCAAGGCUGAGGCGUGAUGACGAGGCACUACGGUGCUGAAGCAACAAAUGCCCUGCUUCCAGGAAAAGCCUCUAAGCAUCAGGUAACAUCAAAUCGUACCCCAAACCGACACAGGUGGUCAGGUAGAGAAUACCAAGGCGCUUGAGAGAACUCGGGUGAAGGAACUAGGCAAAAUGGUGCCGUAACUUCGGGAGAAGGCACGCUGAUAUGUAGGUGAAGUCCCUUGCGGAUGGAGCUGAAAUCAGUCGAAGAUACCAGCUGGCUGCAACUGUUUAUUAAAAACACAGCACUGUGCAAACACGAAAGUGGACGUAUACGGUGUGACGCCUGCCCGGUGCCGGAAGGUUAAUUGAUGGGGUCAGCGCAAGCGAAGCUCUUGAUCGAAGCCCCGGUAAACGGCGGCCGUAACUAUAACGGUCCUAAGGUAGCGAAAUUCCUUGUCGGGUAAGUUCCGACCUGCACGAAUGGCGUAAUGAUGGCCAGGCUGUCUCCACCCGAGACUCAGUGAAAUUGAACUCGCUGUGAAGAUGCAGUGUACCCGCGGCAAGACGGAAAGACCCCGUGAACCUUUACUAUAGCUUGACACUGAACAUUGAGCCUUGAUGUGUAGGAUAGGUGGGAGGCUUUGAAGUGUGGACGCCAGUCUGCAUGGAGCCGGCCUUGAAAUACCACCCUUUAAUGUUUGAUGUUCUAACGUGGACCCGUGAUCCGGGUUGCGGACAGUGUCUGGUGGGUAGUUUGACUGGGGCGGUCUCCUCCUAAAGAGUAACGGAGGAGCACGAAGGUUGGCUAAUCCUGGUCGGACAUCAGGAGGUUAGUGCAAUGGCAUAAGCCAGCUUGACUGCGAGCGUGACGGCGCGAGCAGGUGCGAAAGCAGGUCAUAGUGAUCCGGUGGUUCUGAAUGGAAGGGCCAUCGCUCAACGGAUAAAAGGUACUCCGGGGAUAACAGGCUGAUACCGCCCAAGAGUUCAUAUCGACGGCGGUGUUUGGCACCUCGAUGUCGGCUCAUCACAUCCUGGGGCUGAAGUAGGUCCCAAGGGUAUGGCUGUUCGCCAUUUAAAGUGGUACGCGAGCUGGGUUUAGAACGUCGUGAGACAGUUCGGUCCCUAUCUGCCGUGGGCGCUGGAGAACUGAGGGGGGCUGCUCCUAGUACGAGAGGACCGGAGUGGACGCAUCACUGGUGUUCGGGUUGUCAUGCCAAUGGCACUGCCCGGUAGCUAAAUGCGGAAGAGAUAAGUGCUGAAAGCAUCUAAGCACGAAACUUGCCCCGAGAUGAGUUCUCCCUGACCCUUUAAGGGUCCUGAAGGAACGUUGAAGACGACGACGUUGAUAGGCCGGGUGUGUAAGCGCAGCGAUGCGUUGAGCUAACCGGUACUAAUGAACCGUGAGGCUUAACCUU